rnacentral:tRNA from 1 species
AAAUUAUUAGUUUAUUAAAAAUAUAGUUUUGUCAAAAUUAAGAAAAUUUAUUUUAUGAUUUU